CCUACGGGAGGCAGCAGUGGGGAAUAUUGGACAAUGGGCGAAAGCCUGAUCCAGCCAUGCCGCGUGUGUGAAGAAGGCCUUCGGGUUGUAAAGCACUUUCAGUGGGGAAGAAAGCCUUGGGGCUAAUACCCUCGAGGAAGGACAUCACCCACAGAAGAAGCACCGGCUAACUCCGUGCCAGCAGCCGCGGUAAUACGGAGGGUGCGAGCGUUAAUCGGAAUUACUGGGCGUAAAGCGCGCGUAGGCGGUCUGAUAAGCCGGUUGUGAAAGCCCCGGGCUCUACCUGGGAACGGCAUCCGGAACUGUCAGGCUAGAGUGCAGGAGAGGAAGGUAGAAUUCCCGGUGUAGCGGUGAAAUGCGUAGAGAUCGGGAGGAAUACCAGUGGCGAAGGCGGCCUUCUGGACUGACACUGACGCUGAGGUGCGAAAGCGUGGGUAGCAAACAGGAUUAGAUACCCCAGUAGUC
rnacentral:rRNA from 1 species